rnacentral:rRNA from 1 species
AUGGACGCCGGCUGUGAUGUCCAGCAUAGGCGAGAUGCCUUUGCGGCUGGAUUCUACUACAAGCCCUAUGUCCAGCCUAGGCGGGGCGCUGUCAUUGGAGAUGAAGCCUACUUCACACUUCGCUGGGGUAACCCAGUCGUCAAGUAUAACUGGAGCAAGAAUCACAUAUCCCUGAUUGAUCCGCCAACAAAGUGUGUGUACAACGUUGGUGUCAAAAAAAAGUCUGUGGACAAGGUCGCCCUCAUGGUGAUGGAGGACAGUUCACUGGGGUUUGCCUGCGUUGAGGGUUCCAGCCUUCAUCUGUGGUCAAGAAAGGUGAAUGCAGAAGGAGAUGCAGAGUGGGCAUGGUGCAGGGCCAUCCAGCUGGAGAGUAUUAUACCUGUUGCCAAUUCUGAUGACAAACCAUUUGUGGUUGGAUCUGCAGAGGGUGUGGGUGUCAUAUUCGUCAGCACCGGUGCUGGCUUAUUCACAAUCAAGCUAGAUUCUGGGCUGGUUAAGAAGGUUGCCGAGUCUGGGGUCUACUUCAGCGUCCUACCCUACAUGAGCUUCUAUACUCCAGAUCGUGGUAGAUUUCCAUCCCUGGCGGAGAUCACUGAUGUCUGA